rnacentral:rRNA from 1 species
CUAACUACGUGCCAGCAGCCGCGGUAAUACGUAGGGGGCUAGCGUUGUCCGGAAUCAUUGGGCGUAAAGCGCGUGUAGGCGGCUUGCCAAGUCCGAUGUGAAAGCUCGGGGCUUAACCCCGAGUCUGCAUUGGAAACUGGCUUCCUUGAGUCCGGAAGAGGAGACUGGAAUUCCUGGUGUAGCGGUGAAAUGCGCAGAUAUCAGAAGAACACCGGUGGCGAAGGCGGGUCUCUGGGACGGUACUGACGCUGAGACGCGAAAGCGUGGGGAGCAAACAGGAUUAGAUACCCUGGUAGUCCACGCCGUAAACGAUGGGCACUAGGUGUGGGAGGUGUCGACUCCUUCCGUGCCGAAGCUAACGCAUUAAGUGCCCCG